CUGUCACUUUGACCGCAGUUUUGCUCAAUUUUCGGGGUGCAACGCUAAAAUUCUCGACGAGCCGAACAAAAAUUUUAAGGGGCGAAAACAACUCCUAGAAACUGAAAAGUGUACUCUGAUCUUAGGUCAGCAGAAUGGAGAGACUCAAGACCUCAGUCCUAGCGUCUGCUUUCGCCGUUGCACUCUAUUGCGCCGUUCUCUCAAACGGAGUUAGUACUUCUCCAGUUCCAAGUCCCAACAAUGGGACCACAGCCAUCGGUAAUGUGGCUUCGGAAAUUUGCAACAAGUUUCUUCUAGAUGUGCUCAUAACUUUUUUACUCACCCCAAUUCCCGCAUGCGUGUGCAUACCAAAGCCUAUGCCUGGUUUUACAGGUAUCCAAGUCUGCAUUUUAAACGACGUGAAAAAUAGGAAUUUCCAAAUCAUCAUCAUUUUCAAUGACAAGUACAAGUUCACGUUCACUAGCGAUACUGGCGAAAUUUCGGUGAAUCUGGCCAAUCAAGAGAACUUGCCGCUCCUCUUCUUCAAAAUUUUUGGCCUUCAAAAAUUUUGCAACGAUCUGAAAACCUUUCCUUCGGACAUUUUUUUCCAACAACUCCUUAAGAGUAUUCAACUUAAAUCGACGCCAAAAAAAUAGUUUGACAAUUUGCAUUGCUAUCGUUAGUUCGUUGAGCAGGCCUACAUUCAGGAAUAACCAAAGAGAAUAUAUAAGGCAAGAUAUACGUCAAAUUCAGGCUCGCCCUAGUUUAAAAAUAGGAAAUAUCAAAAAGUGUAUUAAGAACUUCUUCAUUAAUUUUUUUAUUGUUUCUGAUCAUAUUAAUAAAGUUCCAGUGUUGUUCUCGUGCGUAUAA